CACGUAGGGGGCAAGCGUUGUCCGGAUUUAUUGGGCGUAAAGAGCUCGUAGGCGGUUCGGUAAGUCGGGUGUGAAAACUCUGGGCUCAACCCAGAGACGCCACCCGAUACUGCUGUGACUAGAGUGCGGUAGGGGAGCGGGGAAUUCCUGGUGUAGCGGUGAAAUGCGCAGAUAUCAGGAGGAACACCAGUGGCGAAGGCGGCUCACUGGCCCGAUACUGACGCUGAGGCACGAAAGCGUGGGGAGCAAACAGG
rnacentral:rRNA from 1 species